GACAUUUUGUAAGAAUUAAAUCAACAUUUAAAAAUAGAAUGACUAAGAUCACAGCUUUGGAAUGUCUUCAGGUUCAUAACUUUAGUCUUGUCAUAAGAUUGUAGCAGGUAGUAGUGGGGACAAAAUGGAUGAAAAAGUUCUUUCUUUGCUAGAGAAAGUUGAUAAAAAAUUAGAUAAAUUUGAAGAUCAGUUUUCUCAACAAAAUGACAGAAUAAACUCCUUGGAGAAAAGUCUUAAAUAUAUCAGUGCUAGUAAAACUUCAGAUGAUAAGGAAAGUGUAAGAAGCAGACAUAGAAAUGAAAACUUUAUCAAUCAAAUGAAAGCAGAGCUUGAAGAAGCUGACUACAAGAAAAGAGAAGUGAAAGGAACAAAAACAAAAAUAAAGAAAUCAGCUUCAUUUCAUGAGAAACCUAUGAGGAUACCAACACGAAUCAGGAGAAGUACUCACACUGUUCCAUCUGAUAAAGAUGAGGAGAGAAGGUUGAACAGCUUCCGUCGUGAGUGUUUGUCAAAAGCCAUACAAUGGAAUGUUGUUGAUCUCGUGAAAGCUGCUUUGGAAGGACAAAGCAUCAUUCUACCAAAAUGGCUCUGCAGAGAAGAGAUCAAAACUAUAAAGAUAGGAAGUGACAGGAAAAAUCAUUUGAGGAGAUUCCUUUGUAUUUUGAUAGAAAAAGACUUUGUCACAAUGCAGGAGUGGCUACAGAGCUGCAAACUUGAUGAGAAAGUUGUAAAACGGGUGUGGGAAACAUUUGAAGAAUUUAGCGAUAUUGAGACAAAUAAGUCUAGAAUGAAAUGUUUCCGUUGCAGACUGGUUGAGACUGUGAAUGUAUUAGAUGUUGUGGAUUACUUGUUCAGUGCAGAAAUUAUCUCGUCAGAACUGUGUCUGAAAAUUUCAUGUUCAGAGUUAAUUGUUGGAGCUCAGGAAGGACUUUGGAAAGAAGUGUUAGAAGAAUGCAGGUGUUAUAUUCAUCCCAAGGCCUUAGUAACAGCCUUUAAGAUAUCCAUGACAGAUAAACUGAGUUUGUUGAAUGAUACAGAAAAAUUUGAAUAUGAACCUCUGCUCAGUAUGACUGAUGAAACAGAUGCUGCUGAUCUGUUUACCUGCCGUUGCCAAGAGAGGUGUUCAAAAUCAUUCCAUCCUGUAUCGUGCCUGAAAUCCAUGUCUUUAGUGGGUGUCUAUUUUUCGCCGCCACUUCAGCGGAAGAGAGUAAAUUCUUCAUCUUCAAGUGAAAAUCCUCAUUCAAGUUUGUCAUCCUGCAAUUCUUGUGAGACAGUUGCAGAAGAAAGCAAGAACAGCACAGACAUUCUGUCUAGCCCAGAUGAAGAGACUGAGCUGAAGAAACCUGUUGUCCCACCUAGAAUUCCCAAAGGAAAUCAGGGGCAAGGUGGGAAAAUGGAGAUGGUAAAGUUUCAAGAUAGACCACGUAGUGACAACUCAAGGACAUUACAAAGAAAGUCUAAACAGAAAGAGGAAAUCUGUCAUUCAGAAUCCAGUUUGGAUUAUUUUGAUGGAGAAAAAAAGCCUGCUAUUCCAGUGAGGAACAGUGUUAAGUCUGUUACCAAUAUGUCCAGCCACAGGCUGGAAAAUAAGCCAAAUGUGAUAAGAGCACAAAAUGUGAUUUUUAAUACAGGUCCAAAGUACAUUCUUACUAAAGGGAGAGCCAGUAGUUAUUCAAGUGAUAGUUCAAAAGACUAAAUAGUGUUUAGCUCUGGUCUUUGGUUGAUUUUAAAUUGUGAACAAAUAUUUUUCAAUAAUCUGUGUGCAAGCAAUAUUACAUUUGCAUACUUUGUACCAAAGAUUAUUUGGGAGUUGAUAUUAGAAAUGUUAUGAUUUCAUACCUGUACAUAUAAAAUUAUGUAUAAGUGCAGGAUUUUACACUUUAUUUCUGGUCAAAAUUCAGAGCAUUGUAAGGUGCAAUUAUGCAUCAGUGUGACAUUUGUGGUAGAAACUACAGCUAUAAGAAGAAUCUUCUUAGACACAUCCGUGAAAAACAUAUAGAAUUAGAACAUUGGAACUGUCCAGUUGAGACCUGCAAUUCGAAGUUCAUUCGGCGAAGUUAUUUAUGGAGACAUUUAUCUCUCAAACAUGAAUUUUCGAAAACGGACGCACGGACAGCGGCUAUUUCUGCACCUAGAGGAAACAAACCUACACAAACGUCGAACUAUGAGGACAUUAGCGAUGACGACUCAAUUCUUGAUUUAUUUAGCAUUUUGUUGUUGUUGUUGUUGUUGUUUUUAGCUGUUAAUAGUGAGAACUAUUCUUAAGUCUACUGGCAUCAGAUUUUGGUUAAAAUUGCAUGCAAGAUCAUGUCUUAGUAAGCAUUGCAUGUAUUGGAGUGAAAUUUCAUACAUAAGACCUACUGAAAUAGUUAAGAUAGAUAACUCUUGGUUUGAAUUUAAUGUAAAUUAUGGUCCCUUUUUGAUUUAGAAAAUUUGGUUGAAGAAUUUUGCAUGUAAGUAAUUAUUGAGCUGGUUCCCAGUAGUAAUGGUUCUAUUUAUUAGACUGAAACUUAACACAAGGCUUCUUAGUCAUCAAAUCAACUGAAAAAAAUCCACAAAGAUAACUCUUGGUUGAAUAUAAUGUACAUUAUGACCCUUUUUUCCAUUUAGAAAAUUUUUAUGUGCAACUAGCUAUCAAGCUGUAUCUUAGGAACACCUGCGUAUAUUGAAUUGAAACUUCACGUAGGAUUCCUAGUCACAAACUUCUUACUGAACCAAGUUAGAUAACUCUUGAUUAUAUUAGUAGGAAUUAUUGGCCAUAUAGAUCUUGAAAAAAUUUGUGAGUGUUUUAUAUGUAACAUGCUAACUUUUGUUAAUUUUUGUAAUAUUUUGUUAUGAAAUAAUGAACUUUCUAUAAUGGAAGUUUUGGCUCAUGUUCAACUUAGAAUUUGUUAUUAGUACAGUGUGCUGUCUUGUGGAUAGUUUUUGAUGGUGGCAGCUUAAAUAUUAUCAUUGUCUUCAGAAAACCAAUAUGUCUCGGGAGAUUAUUUGUAUUUUUGCCAAAAGUGAAUCUCAAUAAAUGAAAAGAUUAC
rnacentral:misc_RNA from 1 species